rnacentral:misc_RNA from 1 species
ACCUACUGUUUAAUUUUGAGGGUUCGUUUUUACGAAUACUCAAAAUUAGCACUUUAAGCAACGGGAUUUAUCCGUUGGCGACGUGCUUUAGCACUUUUAGCAACAGAAUAAACUGAACGCAUGUGAAGUUUGUUUGUUGGCGCUGUGCGUUAGCACUUUGAAAACUGCAUAUAUAUUUAGUGAUAUGACAUCUAAUUUGUAAUAUAUAAAGCUGAUAACUUUUUAAAAUUAUCGAAGUUGAUAGCUUCUAAUCUAUCAAACCUUUUUAACUGGUCAA